rnacentral:rRNA from 1 species
CUCCAAGCUACAAAGAGCCAACGGUGGAUGCCUUGGCGCCUGAAGCCGAUGAAGGACGUGGGUGGCUGCGAAAAGCCGCGGGGAGCUGCCGACCAAGCUUCGAUCCGCGGAUAUCCGAAUGGGGAAACCCCGCACCCGUCAUGGGGUGUGACUCCCGCCUGAACAAAAUAGGGCGGGUAGAGGGAACCGGGUGAACUGAAACAUCUCAGUAACCCGAGGAAAGAAAAACAACUGUGACUCCCUGAGUAGCGGCGAGCGAAACGGGAUCAGCCUAAACCGAACUGGUGCAAUAGCCUGGUGGCGUUGCCAGUUCGGGGUCGCGGGACCUGAACGAGGGGGCACCAGACCCCUUAAUCGAGUUACAAAACUGAUGCCUAGCGGAAGCGUUUUGGAAAGGCGUGCCGUAGUGGGUAAGAGCCCCGUACGCGAAAGGUAAUCAGUCUCGGUCAGUGUUCCCAAGUAGCGCCGGACCCGAGAAAUCUGGCGUGAAUCUGCGAGGACCACCUCGUAAGGCUAAGUACUUUCAGGCGACCGAUAGCGAACUAGUACCGUGAGGGAAAGGUGAAAAGUACCCCGGGAGGGGAGUGAAAUAGUACCUGAAACCGUUGGCUUACAAACAGUCAGAGCGUCGUUCCCGGGCAACCGGGAGCCGUGAUGGCGUGCCUUUUGAAGAAUGAGCCGGCGAGUUACCGUUAGUGGCAAGGUUAACCCGUGAGGGGGAGCCGGAGCGAAAGCGAGUCUGAACAGGGCGUUCAGUCGCUAGCGGUAGACCCGAAGCCGAGUGAUCUUGCCAUGGGCAGGCUGAAGCGGGGGUAAGACCCCGUGGAGGGCCGAACCCACCAUGGUUGAAAACAUGGGGGAUGACCUGUGGUAAGGGGUGAAAGGCCAAGCAAACUCGGUGAUAGCUGGUUCUCCCCGAAAUGCAUUUAGGUGCAGCGUCGGGUGAUCAGCGUUGGAGGUAGAGCACUGAAUGGGUUAGGGGGCCUACAAGCUUACCGACCCCAAUCAAACUCCGAAUGCCAACGCUUCAAUAGCCCGGCAGUGAGACCAUGGGGGAUGAGCUUCAUGGUCGAAAGGGAAACAGCCCAGACCGCCAGCUAAGGCCCCAAAUUCUAGGCUAAGUGGAAAACGAUGUGGGAUUGCACAGACAGCCAGGAGGUUGGCUUAGAAGCAGCCAUCCUUGAAAGAGUGCGUAAUAGCUCACUGGUCGAGUGGUCCUGCGCGGACAAUGUAACGGGGCUCAAGUCCAGAGCCGAAGCCGCGGAUUGCUCGCACGAAGGUGCGAGCAGUGGUAGGGGAGCGUCGACCUCGCAGUGAAGCAGCGGUGUGAACCGUUGUGGAGCGUGGUCGAGUGAGAAUGCAGGCAUGAGUAGCGAGAGAGGGGUGAGAAACCCCUCCGCCGAAAGCCCAAGGGUUCCUGGGGAAGGCUAAUCCUCCCAGGGUGAGUCGGGAGCUAAGGCGAGGCCGAGAGGCGUAGCCGAUGCACAACUGGUUGAUAUUCCAGUACCACCGUGUUCGCGCCAAGUCCAAGAGUUGCGACGUGGGGGCUGUCUUACGACGAUCCCACCAAGGAGCUGGCGGAUAGCUGGAGGGGGACGCAGGAGGGUAGAUGAACCGGGGCGAUGGUUGUCCCCGGGUAAGCGUGUAGGAGGGUCCCGAUGAGAGUUGGGGCCGUCAACUCUGAGACGUGAUGCCGAGCCGCUUCAGGCGAAGUCAUUGAUCCCAUGCUGCCAAGAAAAGCCCAACAGCGAGUUGACACGGUGCCCGUACCCCAAACCGACACAGGUGGGCGGGUAGAGAAUACCAAGGCGAUCGGGAGAACUGUGGUUAAGGAACUCGGCAAAAUACCUCCGUAACUUCGGGAGAAGGAGGGCCCCGG